CGGCCUCGCUGUUUGCAUGUUUGUGCGCUUUGGGUGUACUUUUUCGUAUGGUUGGCCAACAUCAGUUUCGAUUACUAUAAAAUGACUGGCGGAAUGUAGCUUCGAUUUCGGUUGAAGUGUUAUAGCCUCUGGUAGAUGUGGUGAUUGAGACUGAGGAUUGCAACGAAUAUCCUUUGGGCUAUCCGUCUGGCCUCUGAAAGUUGCUUGGGUGCUGAAAGCUUGCUUAUGGUUAUCUAAGUUAACGGUCAAUAGGUUAGAACGUGAUUACAUUCGUUAAGGAUGUUGACGUAAA
rnacentral:rRNA from 1 species